AUGGUCAUGGGAGGGUAUUUUCUGACCAAGAACAACAGGAGCUAUGGUGGAAGGGCCCCCACUGCUCAUCUUUUCUUCUCCUCUGAUCUUCUACAUCCCCUCUCAUUGCAGACAUCCACCAAGACUGAGGGUGACAGCAUGGUCAAGGGCAGCCUGCCCUCUGUGCCGUGGGGCUCUAUGGGAGUCAUCAAGCCAGCUGUCCUCCAUGACCCUCCAUGGAUCUGGGGUUGUUGUCAUCCACUGAUUCCAUCUGCCUCCAUUGCUGGUCUGGCAGGAACUAUGCUAAAGGAUUUAAGGACUGAGUGUUUGAGGCGAAGGUCAUGCCUGCAGCUUACGCUCUGGUGGUUGGGCAGACGUACAAUGAAUGGACCCAACUCUUUGUACACAGAGACAUGAAAGCAGAUGUGCCAAGUGGUGACAGUUGAUUAGUGAUUCCAGGAGAAAGCAGAUGCUGUCCAGAGACGCCCCUCCCUUGCUGCCUGGGCCUCCUGUGCUCUUGGCAAGGAAUGGUUGGCCUAGGACUCUCUUCUGUCACCUGAUCAAAGGCUGCCGUUUGUUUAGUACAAAGUGAGAGAUGUGUGGUAAGUGUGUGAUGAGUGUGAGUGAUGCCACCGGGCUGGGGCUUCCUCCUCGGGUCCAUGUGCAAGCCCAGGCCUUCCUCCAUGCUGUCCUCUUCACCCAACUCCUGCUUAUCCUUCAUAACCCAGCUCAGCUGUCCCAUGGCCUCUGCUGGACUAGGCCUCUCCUGGACACCAGUCCUCCCACUCCCCCAGUGGAGCAUCUGCAAGCUCGGCACAGGGGUACCCUCUCACUGUUUGUCCAGUGGGUGGACCAGCAGACCCUCCCUGCAAGCAGAGGGCUGUAUGUGCAUGUAUACAUGUGUCUCCUGGUGAAGGUGCUGGUGGGGUUGCAGAGACCAAUC
rnacentral:lncRNA from 1 species